ACAACUCUGCGGCUCUGGCCUGUGAAAGCUGCUGGCCGCGCUGCCAAAAUAGUGCGUCGAGGAAGCUGCACGUGUUUGUUUUGAAAUCGCGCUGGUUUAAGUGAGUUCGCAAAGCCAAGCAGACAGCAUAGGCACCAGCCAUGGAGCAGCCCGGCAGUGGCAGUCUCCCCUUCCCUGAGGGCCGCGGGCUGCUAGGUGCGCGAAAGUCAGCGGACCACGAACCAUGUCCACUUAUGUCCCAUCCUCCUGUUUCCUUCCAGGGAGCUGGCACCCUGGCUGUUCUAAUAUCCCUUAUCUGGAGAAGACGUCCCCCCCAGUUCCCUGGCCCCUAGAUAGAGCCCAAGCCUGAUUUGGGGAGGGGCACUAAGGGUUUUCCUAGUGUCAACCCGCUUUCUUUGCUCUGAUUCAGGCCUGAUGGGUUUGUUUCUUUGCCCCCUUUUCUUCUGCGGGUUCCUAUCCCCACCUCAGGCUGUACCCCAGCCUCUACCCACUCAUCUGGGGGACUGUCCGCUGCUCGUUUGAACGACUGCUCUGCGGUUUUCACUAGACGCUUCCCGAAUAAUACUUACCAGCUGGCGCUUGUUUAAGAGCUGGUAUAGACCUGUUAAGCUCUGUAAGCUCUGCUUAAGUAAUGUAAAGGCGACGACUGGUGGAAAACUGCUGUGGGCGUGAGACCUGGAAAGUGUAGGGUUUGGUAAGAGAAACCCAGAGCGCUGGGCUAUUGCUUUCCUUUCCUGGAGACAUUCUUGGGAGUUUGCACGUUGAAUGAUAUUUUGUGGCCAAUGUACUGACAUUUUCAGAGUGAGUACAUAACUGCCUGGUGGAAUGACCAAUACUUGUAAACAAAGGGACGGGGGUCGUGGAGGGUCCCUGGUCACUCUAGCCUCACAUUCAACUCUAUGGAGUUAUGCCUUUGGGUGUUUCAAUCAAAAAUCCUAGGUUCCAUGGUAUCAGAAAAUGGCUGCCAGAAGGAUUCCAAUCCUUCCCUGGAUUUUACUUUCAACUGGAGGGACAGACCCAUUUCAUGGCGCCCACCUCUCUCGCUUUCCCCCCUGCCAACAGGAGAAGGCUUUUGUCUUUGCCAAUUUUGCCCUGCAUCUAACCCAAGUCCCGCUUCACUCCUGCCAGUUCUGAGAUCCGGGGGCCCAUAGCAUCAUUUCACAUGACAGCCACCACUUGCCAAAUCUUCAGUUUUGAACCUAGUGGAGUGGCAGAGGGGUUCUGGAAAAGUUCCUGCUAGGAAAAGGCCUGUCCUCCUACCCAGCCUCUGAGUCUCCGCGCUUAAUAACACAAGCAAGGCUGGAGAAGAGCCCUUGGGACCUAGGCCCAAGGAGGCCUGGCAAAAGCCAACCACCCUGGGACUCGGUGGAAAGGGGCUGGGGUACAAGAGCUCUCUUGUCCGAGGUCUCUGGAGGACAGAGCACAGGUGUCUAGUCAGGAGUGGAAGAUCCUUCCAUCCACCGAACCCCCGCCACAAGGGCCACUCCACAGGAAACCCAUUCGCGGUUUGGGUCCUUUUGUGUUUGAACAUGUUCGUAGACUCCGCGAACUCCAUGCUAAUUAUAAAGACCUAUGUUGGACUCGCUCUGAGCAGAAAGCUCAGACCCAGCGUGGGUUCCUGAGUUCUUGCCCAAAAGGCCAAGGCCCAAAGAACCUUUUUCAUUUGGCGAAGGGCUAGAGGGAAAGGGAGGGGCGAGGGCGGGAGCGGGCCGGGGUCUGCAAAGCAGCGGCCGACGCGGCUGACUUGCCCCGCUCCUCCGCUUGGUUGCCAGCGUCAGUGCCGGCGGCGCGGUAGCCCUCUCCCGGCCAGAGAGUGGGGACGCCCCUUCCCCGCCCCCCGGCGCCCCCGGGGUCGGCGCCAGAGCCCCGGAGACCCUGAGGCUCUGACUUGAGACGGCGAGGCGGGCUUUGGGGCCUCCCCAGCCAGGCCGAGUUUAGUCUGCGGAGGCGACGGCGGGAGGCGCGGGCCAAGGCCAAGGAGCAAGGGACCCCAAACCCGACAGGCUCUUUCCUUUCCUCCCUCCCCACGCCCCAGUCGUUCUUCAAUCCCUGCCCAAAUUGCCCGUCUUCAUAGGACUAACUGCCCGGCCUCACUCCGCUGCCAACCUUGCCCGAAAUCUAGAGCCCAGAGCCGGUAUCCUGCUGGCUACUUGGACAAGAGUGCUACUUGGGCAAGAGUGUAAGCAGAGAGACCAGGGAGAGGCAAUUCAGAAAGUAAAGAAACUGAGCCUCAGGGAGAUCAAGAAGUUUUAAUCAUUUGAGAGAUGAUUUUGGUAUGAUGUCCAGAUUUGACUGUUACUCAAGAAGAAUCAAGUUCAUGUGAAUCAAGGCCCUAGACUGCAGCUGGAGGCAGCCAGCCCUCUGCUCAGCCCUGCCGUGCAGAGUGACACAGGCAGGCGACAUCAUCUGAGUACUAACUUCUCCUACAUCCAGACAGACUGCAAGAACCAUUUCUGAAUCGUGGCACGACAUAAGAGAAGCAAAGGGGUAGCUGCAAAGUUCUGGAUAAGACCUCUGCAGGCAACUGGAAGCACAGUGUACCCAGGUGGUGGGUCUCGUCUGUGGCAAUAUAUUUUUCUGUCUGUCCAAUUGAAUAUGGCUGUAAAGGGAAUAAAACCCCAUGUAAUCUCCAGCAGUGACAAUUUAAUCAGUUGUGUAAGGGGAAGAAGCAGAGUCCCCUCAUUUUCAUAUUUGCAUAUUUGAUUUUUGCAUUGGGGAAUAGAGGUUAUGUUUUUCUAUUACUUCCCAUUCAAUUUUAAUGCUUAAACCUUUUAGGAGCAAUUUUUUUUCCAGUGGUAGGAUAUAUUGAGUCAAACUGGUCAAAAAAUAAGAUUUAAUUUCUGAAAUAAAGCACUUGAUGCAUCAUGCUUUGUGUAACGUUUUUCCCUACAAAGAAUCUAUGUGCCAAACAUGGCUUGCAUGCUCCCAGCUUCUGCCUGUGAUGCAUCCCCUAUUAACAUUCAGAGAUCCACCCUGAAAAUGAAGGCAACUGUUUGGAGAACAAUGCAAAAUGCUGAGAGCUAUACCAUAAUAUGUCCCCUUUUUUGUUAACAUUUCUUAAAAUGGUAAGUCUUAAUAAUAACCGCCUCUCUUUCUGAGAAAGGAGGGUUUCUAAAAUAUCUUAUAGACAUGGGAAUCACUUUUUAUGAGGUUAUAGUGGAGCAAUAAAUACAGUUAAAUUAGUAAAACUCCAUUGUUUUUACAAUUGAUAGAAUGAUGUUAUUGUCCAUAAUGUAGUAACAGAUUAGGGAAUAGAUUUUAAGAUAAAUAAGAUGAAAGUAAUUUGAAGUCAUCAUCAAUUACCCCCAUGUGACUCCCAUGAGUAAAUUAAAAAUCCACUCAGAAUGGUGUUGGAUUUGAAUUACUAGAACAGGGAUAGAUGUUUUUUGUUGCUGUUGUUUUUAAUGCAUCGAUGCACAUAAACCUCUACUUGCAAAAGCCCCAGAAGUAUAUUGGGUAAUUAAAAAAAAAAAGGCUUGUAUUCUAUUUGCUUAAUGAUUUAAAAUUUCUCUACAAAAAGUGACCUCUGAAGCUAACAUUUCUACGAAGAGAAAAAAAAAUAAUUUGAUUCUAUAUAAUUUUGUGAAAGGAGAGAAAGAUUAAACAAAAGUUUUGAAAUGUUACGUACAUUAAAUUUAAUCUACAUAUGCAUUCACAUAUACACACAAUGUGUAUAUGUUGGUGUGUGUAUAGAUAUAUAAAAAUGUGGCCUAAAUAGUGCUAAUCACAUUCUAUAAGAAACUACUAAAAUUGGAAUUCUGAAAAGAUAAGCCAUAGCAUUAUUUUAAAAAGCAAAGCACAUUGUCUUUUAAUUUAUGUCCAUGAAAAGCACACCAGUAGCAGUGUCUAGGCAUGUGCAAUCAUUUGAUAACAGGUAUAAGAUUCUUUUGGGGUGAGCAGAAUUCACAUUAGAUUCAAAGUGAUAAUAUGUUAAGUUUUGACAUAUUCUUGUUUAUUUAAAUCUGCAUUCUGAUGAUCACCUUUCAAAGAGGUAACAAAUAUAUGAAUAUGCGAUCCAGUGAUUAUAUAUUCAAAUUAAUCCAGUUUCUUUGAAUAUGGUCCAAUGAUUGAAUGAGCCUCCAAACACUGUCACUCCUCAGGGAAAUACGCUGAUGCACAUUUUCUCAAAGCCUGGAGAAGACGAGUUCUGCCAAGGAAUGCCUUGAAGCAUGGAAACUCUGCUCUACCUAAACACAAGUCCUAGGCUUUAAUCACAAUGGCUAGGUUCACACUAAAGCAAUUAACCAUAUGAUUGCUUUCUCAGGAGCCCAACCUCAUCAGUAUCUUUCCUUCAGGCAAACUGACAAGGCUGGAUGUAGUCAAUGACUCAAGUAGAUUUGAUUACCUAAGAGGGACAAAUCUCUGAAUACGCAAAUGCAGAGUAGGAAUAGUCACCUCAGUCUAUUUUUUAGAAGUAGCCAUUUCACAAUCCACCUUUUACUUUUAAAUGAUGGAGGUAAAAUGAUUGUUCCACUAAACAAGAGUUGGCAAGUUUUAGAAUGAAGAUUGAGACCAAAUAAUCAUGGCCUAUUGUAUAGUUGGUUGUUUUUUGUUUGUUUUGUUUGUUUUGGCAGGAACUAGGAAUGGCCAUGAUAGCUCUCAAAAUCUUAAAAUAGUUACUUGAGAAUUGGAGGGAGGCAAAAAUCCUUAAGGAAUGUAAUUUGUAAUUGAAUAGCAGCUGUAGAGAAGGUUUGAAAGAUGUGUGUGUGUGUAAGUAUGUGUGUGUACACAUACAUGUGUAAAUUCCUGUGUCGUUUUAGGUCUAUUGUCACAAGUCAGUGCUAGACUUGGUGAUAUAUCAAGUGUGAACCUGAAGCUUUCUAGCAUCUUCUUCUUUGUAUCCUAUUUGGAAGUUUUUGCCAGCAUAACAAAUUUUUUUGGUUACUAUCAACUGGAAUGAUUUUUUCAAAAAUGAGGCACUAACAGAUUUUAAAUGUUUUUCCCACUUAAAAACUGGGUAUGAAUACAAGAUCUGAGCAAUAUAAGUUUUCCAAUGUGUUUGUAAUUUCUUCGCACUUUUUAAAGAUUAUCCUAAAUACUCCUUAAAUGAAAUUAAAAUGCACUAGACAACAGGUAACAUACCUCCCAACGAUGCUAAGGAUUUCAUGCUUCCCAUAUAUAUUGGCCAGAAAUCUGGGAGGUUAUGUGGUCUGAUGAGCCUCACUGGGGCUAUAUCCUAUCCUGGAAUGCCAGUGUACAUACUGCUAUGAAAAACUUGUUGAAAUCAUGAGACUGACUCUGAAAAAGAUUUCCACAAUUUGGAAUUCAUCAGUUGGUUUUAUCACCUUCAGUGAAAGUACACCCAUGGACUUGGGUCUUGAUAAUGUUAGAAGCCUCUUAAAUAAAAGCACUUACACAAAUAAUAGGCAGAUUGGACUUCCUGUUGUGGCUCAGUGGGUUAAGAACCCAACCAGUAUCCAUGAGGAUGUGGGUUCGAUCCCUGGCCUUGCUCAGUGUGUUAUAGAUCCAGUAUUGCUGCACGU